rnacentral:rRNA from 1 species
AACGAACGCUGUCGGCACGCCUAACACAUGCAAGUCGAACGAGACCUUCGGGUCUAGUGGCGCACGGGUGCGUAACGCGUGGGAACCUGCCCUUAGGUUCGGAAUAACUCCCCGAAAGGGGUGCUAAUACCGGAUAAUGUCUUCGGACCAAAGAUUUAUCGCCUUUGGAUGGGCCCGCGUUGGAUUAGCUAGUUGGUAGGGUAAAAGCCUACCAAGGCGACGAUCCAUAGCUGGUCUGAGAGGAUGAUCAGCCACACUGGGACUGAGACACGGCCCAGACUCCUACGGGAGGCAGCAGUGGUGAAUAUUGGACAAUGGGCGAAAGCCUGAUCCAGCAAUGCCGCGUGAGUGAUGAAGGCCUUAGGGUUGUAAAGCUCUUUUACCCGGGAUGAUAAUGACAGUACCGGGAGAAUAAGCUCCGGCUAACUCCGUG